rnacentral:rRNA from 1 species
AUGCAGGCAAGCAAGAGUUCUCCAGCGAAUCAGAACCACGGACGUAACAUCUCCGUGGACAUGUACCCGUUCAUACGCAAGUACCAGGACGGCAGCAUCGAGCGUUUCCUGCGCAGUCCAUUCGUGCCGGCGUCGUCGGAUCAGGCCCGCAACCGUGGGGUGGCGACGAGGGACGUCGUCGUCGACAAGGCCACCGGCGUGUCUGUGCGCCUGUUCCUCCCGUGCGGUGCCGCCGAGACCGCAGGCAGGAAUCGGCUUCCUCUCGUCAUCUACGUCCAUGGCGGCUCGUUCUGCACGGAAAGCGCUUUCGGCCGGACGUACCACCGCUACGCGACCUCCCUUGCCGCCUCCGCCGGGGCCCUCGUCGUGUCGGUGGAGUACCGUCUGGCGCCGGAGUUCCCCAUACCUGCGGCCUACGACGACGCUUGGGCCGCGCUCCAGUGGGCGGCGUCCUUGUCCGACCCGUGGCUGGCCAGCUACGCCGACCCCGCGCGCACGUUCCUGGCCGGCGACAGCGCCGGCGGCAACAUCGUUUACCACACGGCAGUCCGCGCCAGCCACGAAGUCAACAACGACAUCAUGGACAUCGAGGGGCUGAUCAUGGUGCAGCCUUACUUCUGGGGAGCCAAGCGGCUCCCUUUGGAGCUCGCGUGGGACGACAACGAAGCCACCGUGGCGGUGUUCCCACCGAACGGGGUGGACCGGCUCUGGCCGUUCGUGACGGCCGGCCAGGCCGGCAACGACGACCCCCGGAUCGACCCUCCGGCCUCGGAGAUCUCAUCGCUGGCUUGCCGCCGCGUGCUCAUCGCGGUGGCCGGUAAGGAUAGCCUGCGGGGCCGCGGCCACCGACUGGCGGCCCGCAUGCGUGAUCUCGACUCGCGUUGGCCUUGGAUGAUCCAGCGGCGCCGCGAGGUGACGGUGGUGGAGUCGGAGGGCGAGGAGCACGGUUUCCACCUCUACAGUCCGCUGAGGGCCACCAGCAAGAGGCUCAUGGGGAGCCUCGUGGAGUUCAUAAACCAGCAGCCCAACUCGUCGCCUGCGAAUCCUAUGGUGCUAGGCGUGCCCACGACGCCGUGCAAGGACGUGUUUGGGUAUGGCAUGGCCAUGAAGGCCUGGUGCACACGGUCCAGUAUGCCACGUAACACUGCUACUUCAUUGAAGAUUGGAAGGGUUGGGCCAUCCAACACAAGAUAUAGGUUAAUCUCAGGUCGACUGCUGAUGACUGCUGGUAACGCUCAUCACAAAGAUCCAUUAUCUGCUGCAGUUCCCUGGACUUGUGUGAUCAACAACUUCUUCUAG